GCUCCUAUAGUCUAGUGGUUAGGACGCCGGAUUCUGAUUCCGGAAGCAUUGGUUCAAUUCCAGUUAGGAGCU